CUUCACCGACCCAAGCCACAACGGCAGAUCCCGGUCCUGCCCAUACGUCGCCAGCAACGCCUGCGCCUC
rnacentral:antisense_RNA from 1 species